AAAGACUCAAUUCUUGGGUUUCCGUGUCCAACGUUUGAACGUCCGUCUUAUAUAAAAUUUUUAUGAUUAGUAUUUUUAUUACUGUUAGAUGAUAAAACAUGAAUAAUACUUUAUAUAUGACUUAUCUUUUUAAAUUUUUUCAUAUUUUUUUUAAAUAAGACGGACAAUCAAACGUUAGACAUGGAAACCUAGGAAUUAAG
rfam:Oryza sativa Japonica Group DNA, chromosome 9, cultivar: Nipponbare, complete sequence.